UACGUAGGGGGCUAGCGUUGUCCGGAAUCAUUGGGCGUAAAGAGCGUGUAGGCGGCCCGGUAAGUCCGCUGUGAAAGUCGGGGGCUCAACCCCUCGAAUGCCGGUGGAUACUGGCGUGCUGGAGUGUGGCAGAGGGAGGUGGAAUUCCACGUGUAGCAGUGAAAUGACGUAGAGAUGUGGAGGAACACCGAUGGCGAAGGCAGCCUCUGGGCCAGCACUGACGCUCAUGCACGAAAGCGUGGGGAGCAAACAGG
rnacentral:rRNA from 1 species